GAGCCUGAGUCUGGGGCCCACAGCAGGCCAGGCACAACUCUGCCACUCCCCAGGGAAGGAGAUGACUUUUAUCAUCAGUACAUGUCACAAGAAAACAUUUAAAAUGACACUGAAACAAUCAUUGAAAUCAUGGUGCAUGGAGGAAAAAGGUAAAGAAAACAACUUUUGGCUUGUUUUGGCAUGAGACCUUGAUACAAUUUGGGUUCCCCAAAACCAUGUGAAGGGUGGUAAAAUAGAAAUGCUCAAAACUGACUUAAAAAAAUAAACAGGCUUUACAAAAACCCUCUUUUUUCUUAACCCAGCCACUUCUCGACAUGGUCUGCACAUACAGUAGAUACAUUCAUUAUUGUCCAAGGGAAGACAGUAACUGCCUUUCAUUUUAAAGAGCUUGGUGGAGAGGCUGAAGAAAUGUGCUGCAGCUGAAGGUGAGUAGAAUGUUCCAGAGAACACAAAAGUCUAGAUGGUCUUCAGAAACAGCACUGAGCAUGAUGUGGGGAGGGUCUCUGGGAAGAGAGGUGGAGGUGGAGGAGGGUGCGGAGUCCAGAUCUGAAGCCACGGAGACUGAGGAUGGAGUUGGGUUGUCAGUGGUGAACGUGGGGGCAGGGAUCUCUCCGCCUGAGCAGUCCUGGGUUUGUCCUCAGCCUGGGAACGUUGCUCUUUCAGCAAGAGGCGAACCCUGGGCUUUGGAGACGGGGCUGGGGCUCUUUUCAGGCAUAGCAGCAGUGGGGAGACUGGGGACAGGCUUGCAAUGGAUUCCACGGGAGGGGCUUCUCUCCUGGUUCUGACUGCUUAUUAGGUGGUUAUUAAGGCAAUAAGGACUUAAGCAAACUAGAAGUUAAGGGCAGCUAAGUUCAGCCAGAUCAAAGGUAAACAAAAGGUGAGAAGGUGUCCCUUUCUCCUCAGCUACCUUUCCCCCAAGCACAGGAGGCCUCAGCUCCUGAAGCUCUGAAUUUACAGUACACAGUAGCAGACGGCUUGCCCUUUGGAAGGCUCCAUGGAAAGAAGGCUCAUCCCUGACUUGGGGCAACUUGACCGAAGUUUCUACUCUCCAGAAUCUCUUUUCUGUGGUCACCCGACUGGCAAGUGGAAGAUGGAAGCACCAAGGUUCCUGCAAAAGAUAGAUCAAGACCUUUGCUAUCAACCUUUCAGCCCAUCCCAAUGGCCUUGAAUGGCACGUGUCCUGGAAAACCAGGUCUGCUGCCUGUACGCCCGAGCGAAACCUAUGCUCAGCUGGAGAAGAGGACAGCCUUUCAGGGUUCAUGAAUGUUCUCCCUAGAACAGAUGGAAUGGCAGCUACAAUGCCCUUGGGAAUGUGAGGUCCUGGUGGAGUCUCUGGGGAAGUGAAAGAAGCUCCUUUAACUUGACUCCACUCACAGGACAAAGUGCAGGAGACAGAACAGAAUGGAUAGAAGAGGCUUCUCCUUUCUUCUUGCUCUAGAGUGAAGGAGAUGGACAGUUACCUUGAAAUGCUACGGGAAGGAUGAGCAUGGAGAGCUGCCUGUUAUUCUGAGCCAACUUCUGGCAAGAUGCUGGGUGAAUCGACUGCCUAGAAUUGAAGAACUGGCUCUCAAGCAGUUGCUGCUAAAGAAUGCCAGCAAACAAACCACACACAACUGUGGUAAGCCAGGCGGAAAUCCCUCCACCCUCUGGCAUGAGAUGGCAGUCUAGAAAGGACUCUCCAUGAGAUGCCUGGGGCCUGAGGAAGCAGAGGCAUGGACACACUGUUCUACGAUGACUCAGGGCCACCCAUGAGUGGGACAUUCGUGGGGAUGAGAUGGGAGCAGGGAGAAGCAGCAGUUGUAAUGGCCAGCCACGUGGGGACCAGUUCCGUGCCUGGCCUUUCUUUCUCUGGUGGAAGCCAUCUUGUUUUGAUCCUAAGAAAAAUGGGUGUCAUUUUAUCCAGGAAUCUAAGAAUUAUAAUAAUAAAUUAAUAAAGUGAAUGUGAUAAUCAAA
rnacentral:lncRNA from 1 species